GAUGAACGCUGGCGGCGUGCUUAAUACAUGCAAGUCGAGCGAACAGAAGAGGAGCUUGCUCCUCUGACGUUUGCGGCCGACGGGUGAGUAGCACGUGGAUAACCUACCUAUAAGACUGGGAUAACUUCGGGAAACCGGAGCUAAUAGCGGAAAAGAUAUUCAACCACAUGGUUCAUUAGUGAAAGACGGCUAUGCUCUCACUUACAGCAGGAUCCGCGCCGCAUUAGCUAGUUGGUAAGGUAACGGCUUACCAAGGCGACGAUGCGUAGCCGACCUGAGAGGAUGAUCAGCCACACUGGAACUGAGACACGGUCCAGCCUCCUACGAACCGCAGUCGUAGGGACUCUUCCGAGAUUGACGAACGCAUGCAGGAGCAACGCCGCGCGAGUCAUGAAGGUCUUCUGAUCGUACCACUCUGUUAUUAGGGAAGAACAAAUGUUUAAGUAACUAUGCACGUCUUGCCGGUACCUCAUCAGAAACCCCCGGCUAACUACGUU
rnacentral:rRNA from 1 species